AUACGUAGGGCGCGAGCGUUGUCCGGAAUUACUGGGCGUAAAGAGCUCGUAGGUGGUUUGUCGCGUCGUCUGUGAAAUUCCGGGGCUUAACUCCGGGCGUGCAGGCGAUACGGGCAUAACUUGAGUACUGUAGGGGAGACUGGAAUUCCUGGGGUAGCGGUGAAAUGCGCAGAUAUCAGGAGGAACACCGGUGGCGAAGGCGGGUCUCUGGGCAGUAACUGACGCUGAGGAGCGAAAGCAUGGGUAGCGAACAGGAUUAGAUACCCUGGUAGUCCAUGCCGUAAACGGUGGGCGCUAGGUGUAGGGGUCUUCCACGACUUCUGUGCCGUAGCUAACGCAUUAAGCGCCCCGCCUGGGGAGUACGGCCGCAAGGCUAAAACUCAAAGGAAUUGACGGGG
rnacentral:rRNA from 1 species